UCUGACGGCACUUCAUGACAUUUGUUGAAUCCACCACCUUAUUUGCUUACCACCCGUCACUAUCACCACAAAACAACAUGUGUGCACUGCUCUCUGCCGCUCCGCUCUCACGCACAACCAGACGGUUCUCUCUCUCCCUAACCCUUUCAUUCAUCGGCAGAAUAGCAUGGAACGCUCUCACCAAUUUGUUUUGCUCACUGAUCGCCCUCGCACUUACGGAAAACGCUCGCUGCUGGUGUGGUGAGUCGUGGUGCUCUGGCGGCUGGUAGAAAAUUCAGUCUUUCAUGACGGUCCGGUCGGUGAGGUUGUGGCAACCAUUCGGUGGCACCCAGGGGGUUUUACUCGAUUCCGUUCGAACCUUUCCCAACGCGACGAGGAGGAGAGAAACCAUCGCAACGAAAAUACAACAGCAGCAGCGUUGAAGACAUUUUUGGGGCAUUCCUCGGUUGCAUUAUUUUUGAUGGGAAGCGAGGUUUUUUUUUCGUUGUGGGGAAGAGAUUUACAGUUUUGACAUUAGCGCAUCUUGCGUCCGCAUACAGAGAUUUAGAAGCUGAUGAACAUUGUAAGUGAAGGAAAUAUUACGCGAUAGAGAGGCGCAAGUAAAAAUAAUCACGAAAACUUGGCUUUCACAGUGAAAGAGUGUUUCGGGCUGUGUUGUGUGACGUUUAUUUUCACUUUGAUAAGGCUGGAAAGUCUGUGAAUGGUGUGCCUAAAUGUUUAAUGUGCGUGAAUGAAGAUAAGAGGCUGUUCCAGCAGUGCAAGUGAACGGGUCUGCUGAAAUUUUAUCGCAGUCGUCACGUCUGGAAUAGGCAGCGGGGUCGUCGUCAUUUCAGAUGAUAAAUAAUUUCAACCAAUCCAAUUGUGUGUCGGUACGAAUAUAUCCAGGUCCGAAUUGAAUGAGUUUAAUGUUGCUGAUAAAAUAAGCAUUUUGCGAGUCAUAUUCACUGGAAGAAUCAUUCGGUGAGCUGUCAAAGACACUCGUAGAGCAG